CGUCCUCACCUCCGCUUCUCACGCCCUGUCCGCCUGCGUCGGGGCGCUGGGCAUGAGCGAGCCGCGGCCGCAGCACUUCUCCUCCUCCUCCUCCUCCUCCUCCUCUCUCUCUCUCUCUCUCUCUGUUCCCAAGGCGGCGGCAGGCUCCUCCUCCUACUCCUCCUCUCUCUCUCUGUUCCCAAGGCGGUGGCAGGCACGACACGGUUGCGAGCGGUGACGCGACGGCGACCCUUGCGGGUGGCGCGUCGGCGUGCCUAGGGGACGCGGAUUCGGUGACUUUGCUUAGGCAAGUCACGUCGUAACUUUACUCCUGCCAUCCACCCUCCAACCAAUAUCCAAGGAGCCAGAUCGAUUCGAAGCUCUUUUUUUUCACGUGACGGAGUCUUGCGUUCCCUUCAGUCGCGCCUCACUGGCAUUCCGCGCGCAGCGCGCCCAGCCAUCCUGUCUGAGCUCUUCGUCGGUCGAUGAACAACAGGAGCGGGACAUGGCCGUCGACAGGCAGCGCGCCAUGCGCGUCCCGGCGUCGGUCUUGCCUGACCGCAUCCCACGUGUCCUCCUUCACGGCGUUCACGUCCCUGACAACAACACACCCGGCGACUACGACGCCCGAACUUCGCAACGUCCCGCGGGCACCACACGCGCUCCAUGCCCUGCGAGCAUCUGGCGUGCGGCGGCUUCGUCGAUCCUCGCGCAGCACACCGUGGUAAACGUCUUAGACGACGCUCGAGCUCGUCAGUGUCCAUAUGCUUCACGAAGGCCACGCUCGUGCUACUGAUAGAAUGGGCUGCAUCGGAGUCGUUCCGACCAUGGUCUACACCGGCGUGAAGGCGCACAAGGCCGGUAGGACCAGCUGUAUGGGCCCUCGACAAUGCGACGACACUGCACGGCGAACGCGGACUCACUGGCGACUCAGAGGACAUGCAUGAGCUUGGUGGUGGAUAGGCCGUUGCCGUCGGCGUCAGAGAAGCCGAAGGCGUUGCGCAGGUCCUCAACGGCGGCCGCGUCGCCCGCGACGGUGGCGUCGAGCACCGCGAUCUCGUCCAGGCUGAUGAAGCCGCCGCCACGACGCCGCCUCGAAUUGCACAAGCGCGGCCAACAGGUACUCGCCAAGGGACACCGUAGACGGCCAGACGCCAGUACGAACGCGGCGGACGCCUUCCCAGAUGCACCGGCCACACCUCAAAUCCUUAAUCUAGCAGACGCACGGGGAACAAAGUUCCAAGUCUUGGCUCCUUUUGGCCUGCAAGCGAUGGUAGCCCUUGGAUCUUAGUUGGAGGGUAGAUGGAGAGAGUAAAGUUACGUUGUAACUUCCUUGAGUAAAGUCACUGAAUCUGAAUCCGUGCCUAGGGUGUUGCGGCCCCUUCCCUCUCCUCCAUUCUUCAACGCGGGCUGCUCAACGCCUCCUCCAGUCGGGGAAUGUCUGCUCCUCGGGUUGCCGAAACCCUAGCUACAUAUAUGCAUGCUGCAAAUGGGUUAGCUCUUCUGAUCUGGUUUUUUUUUGUUUUUCUGGACUGAUUUAGGAUUUAUUGCUUCUAUUCCUUAGGCGAUUGUAUGGGUACAAAGGAAGGGAGUUCUAUUGUGCUGAUGUUAGUCUUCUAACUCUACAAACCUUCCAGGCUCCUAAAAGAGAACCAAUGUCCACGUCUCCUGCAAUUACUCCAGCCGUUUCAUCCUCUCCAUUAACGGCCCACAUUAGCAGCGUCAAGAUUUUUUUUUGAGCUGAUUCUGAUUCACAUAACUGGAUUCUGGAGAUUCCUCGGUGGAUUUCUUCGAUUCUCUCUUUUUGGCAUAUAUAGGCAUAUGCCUAUGCUGCUGAUUCAUUUAUUUUGUACUGAGCAUAUGCCAUUGCUGAUGAUGUAUCUAUUUCAGUUUCAGUAUACAACAGUGCCUAUGAGCCCCGAUAGACUUGACCAUAUUUCCAUGGCACUGUUGUUUUGCAUUUUCCUAUUCACCGUAUUUCAAUACCAUUGAUGCUAGAACAAAAUAUCUUUUUUUUGAACUGUGCACUCAUGAGUAUUGCUCUUUUAUGAUCCUAUGUUAUGAUGAGUAUUUAGUAUUUAUGCUAAUUUGAUCCGACCUCUACUGAAUUGAGGCAUUCGGCAUAUGGUACAACAAAGUAUCUUUUUUCGAGAAUAUGCGGUUAUGAUUAUCACUCUUUUAUGAUCCUAUGUUAUGAUGACUACUUAGUCCUUUAUGAUAAUUUGAUUCGACUUCUACUGAAUUGAGGCAUUCGGCAUAUGGAACGAUGAAAACAUUAUAUAUAUAUAUAUAUAUAUAUAUGGCCCUCUUUUUAGUUGUUAAUAAUGAACUGAGGCAUUUGGCAUAUGCAAUGAUGACCUACUUUUCUCUAGCAGAAAUCAAUUUUUUUCCCAUGCGCUUUCACUGCUUUCUGCCAAAAAAAUCCAGUUUGUUUGAAGAUAAGCCUGCGUUGUCAUGAACAAUGAUUUCUUUCCCAAACAUAUGUUUGCUCUUUGUAAUCUCAGCGAAAAAGUGUUGUGUGUGUACGUUUACGUCUCUCAAUUUUAGCUUCCAUAUGCCAGCCUUGUUUAUUUUCCAUUGUUCUCCCAUUGCUUGAGCCAUAACUAUAUUUUGUUCGUUGUUCAAAAUUUGCUUUGCAUUUGUUUAUAUCUGCUUAUGUUAACUUAUGAGCCUUACAUGAAUCUUGUCUAUGUUAACCUCUUAGGUAUUAUAGCUCUGGUCUUCAUUUCGUUGUAGUUUGGUGUCCAAUUUUAGUUUGUGCUUUGCCUUUGCCCUUCUCUUUUACAUCCUAAUUAUCUUGCCCUGUCUCUAUUCACUUAUCCAACUGAGCCUUAGUUAGUAUUUCCUUCAGACCCAUUCUAUUUGGGUGUUAGUUUGUUCUAUUAGGAUUGUACAUUCUUCACUUAGGUAAAGGCCACAUAUUCUGAAAACCCCUCAUCCUCAUUGUGUGACUUUUAUUUACUCAUCCAAUUGUGAGGUACCACAUACUUGGUUAUUCACUUACCAACUAGAUUCCUUUUUUUGGCCUUAAGGCCACGUACUGUGCACAUGUCAGGUAUACCAUUAUUGUGUCUUCUGAUCUACAUUCUUGUCUCUUGUUACUGUUAUUGGCCCAUAGCCUCAAACCAAUAGACUGUUCCUCUAUUUUUAGGUGCAUCCAAUCAAAUACCAAGUAAGAGGAUGAAAAGGGAUUUAACAUGCUUUCACAGUAAAUGGACACAUGUGUGGAUCAACUUCAGAGCCAGCUCUUCAAACAUAGAAGCCCUAAUAAACUCAACUUUUAUCAGCAGCAUCAUACAACAGCUGAUGGCGCCCUUACAGAGAAGAAUGUUGCAGAGCAAUUCUAUAUGCCCCUAGCGCUGGUAGUCCUAAAGGAUACAGUGAAGGAUCUACAUCCUGCCACAAUGAGCUACAUACAAAUAAGUAAU